rnacentral:rRNA from 1 species
UACGAGGGGGCAAGCGUUGUUCGGAAUUAUUGGGCGUAAAGGGUGCGUAGGCGGUUUUGUAAGUCUUGUGUGAAAUCUUCAGGCUCAACUUGAAGACUGCACGAGAAACUGCAGGCUUGAGUCCGGGAGAGGUGAGUGGAACUGCGAGUGUAGAGGUGAAAUUCGUAGAUAUUCGCAAGAACACCAGUGGCGAAGGCGGCUCCACUGGCCCGGUACUGACGC